rnacentral:tRNA from 1 species
AGGCGCGUAGCUCAGUGGUAGAGCGCUACCUUGACACGGUAGAAGUCGUUGGUUCAAUUCCAAUCGCGCCUA